CACACGGAGGCGAGCGCUGAUUAGUCCAGGCACUUUCAAGAGCCAGAAACAGGCGGGGACAAGCUUCUACUUGAGUCGCGAUUGGGCAAGACGGCUAUCAUUUUUGCGGAAAAAGAGGAGGCGGCGGCAAAUUUCCAGAACAUCAUAUCAAGUGGUCAGCCCUCAGGUUACAGUGGAAGCAGGGCAGUUAGCUGACUAAGCAUCGUGGGAACACAUCUGGAUCAGUUCAUCAGCGGUAUAAAGGAGGCCUGGAAGCACCGGCUGACCAUCCUGACCUGGGAAAGGUCACAUAUGAGCAUCAGCAGAGACGAGGCAGAACACACCCACAGCAUACUGAAGCUAUGAAAGGCACAAACUGCAUGGAGACCGGAGGCAACAGCUUGAGAUAUAUCAGAGAGAAAAAAAAUGUCCAUCUUGUUGGAACAUUGUGGGUCGAUGUCCAGCUGCCUCUCUCAUGAAUUAUGGACCAACAAGGAGAAAGGAAAGCAGACACAAAUGCAGGCAUCUUUGCAGUGUGGUUAGAAGAGUAAUUACAUUUAUGGCUGAGAAAGCAAGACAUCCUUCCAGGGAGGCCGGCGAUCGCUCACAGACAGGCCAGCAAAAACAUAUUCAGACCGAUAAAUAUAUUAGAUCAACAUUAUCAGUCACACAAGGCUCAGAAGAAGAAGUGGUCCUAGCCGGCAGACUUCCAUACAAACAGACUAAAACUAGGGAUGUUUUUUGUCAAUAUGUCAAGACAGGUGCAUGACAGAAGAAGUCAGGGAAACGGACUAAUGACCAGCUCUAUUCCCUGUUGAGUGCACUACUGCUGUAGCAUUUCCAGGAACACAUUAACUGCUUGCAAAAAGCACCAACAUCCUCUUCUAAUAGCAUCAUGGUCCUCUGGCACCAGGAGUCUCUUUACACACUCUCCAUCAACAAUGAAAUGGCCUAAAAGUGAUUGCUUUAACGAGCAUGGAGCUAAAUGAACUAUAAUCCGGCUCAGCAUCUGUGUUUAGUGAUAUCAUGGUGGUCUAAAGCCAAACCUGAGUUUAAAAACACUUCAUUUUAAGGUGACAAGUUUUGUUUUCUUUCCUCUGAAUUUACAGGACGCACUAAACCCAAACAAUGCUGGUUUUGGUUCAUUAUAGCAUCAUAUUAUCACUUUUCAUUUUACAAAAGGAUUGCCCUUGCUGUAUCAGAAACAUCCCUUUGGAAAAGUUGUUUUUGUAAAGGAACCAAGUUUACCACAGCCAGUUGCACUGAUUUGUUUCGAAAACUCGGCUAAGAGUCUUUGUAUUCAUUAUUUACGCUACACAGUCUGGGAGUAAAAAGGUCAGCAAGCACACGCUGUACUGAGCCGUACAGUUAGACGAGUCACACUGUGUGACUCUGUCAGCAACUGUGGCCAUCCAUCUAUGUGUCUAUCUUUAGGGGGGGUGUUGUGGGUAGAUGCAGCCAGUAGUCGA